rnacentral:rRNA from 1 species
CAGUCGAGGGGCAGCGGGGUAGUGCUUGCACUACUGCCGGCGACCGGCGCACGGGUGAGUAACACGUAUGGAACCUGCCCGCAGCAGGGGGAUAAGCGGAAGAAAUUCCGUCUAAUACCGCGUAACAACGUUGGGAGGCAUCUCCCGAUGUUUAAAGAUUUACCGGCUGCGGAUGGCCAUGCGGCGCAUUAGCUAGUCGGCGGGGUAACGGCCCACCGAGGCGACGAUGCGUAGGGGUUCUGAGAGGAAGGUCCCCCACACUGGUACUGAGACACGGACCAGACUCCUACGGGAGGCAGCAGUGAGGAAUAUUGGUCAAUGGCCGAGAGGCUGAACCAGCCAAGUCGCGUGAGGGAAGACGGCCCUACGGGUUGUAAACCUCUUUUGUCGGGGAGCAAAGCGAACCACGUGUGGUUCAUUGAGAGUACCCGAAGAAAAAGCAUCGGCUAACUCCGUGCCAGCAGCCGCGGUAAUACGGAGGAUGCGAGCGUUAUCCGGAUUUAUUGGGUUUAAAGGGUGCGCAGGCGGAGGUGCAAGUCGGCGGUCAAAUUGCGGGGCUCAACCCCGUACUGCCGUUGAAACUGCAUCCCUUGAGUGCGCGAGAAGUAUGCGGAAUGCGUGGUGUAGCGGUGAAAUGCAUAGAUAUCACGCAGAACUCCGAUUGCGAAGGCAGCAUACCGGCGCGCAACUGACGCUCAUGCACGAAAGCGUGGGUAUCGAACAGGAUUAGAUACCCUGGUAGUCCACGCAGUAAACGAUGAACACUAACUGUUCGGCCAGAAUGAUGGCUGAGUGGUACAGCGAAAGCGUUAAGUGUUC